rnacentral:rRNA from 1 species
GGUUGACCUCGGAUCAGGUAGGAAUACCCGCUGAACUUAAGCAUAUCAAUAAGCGGAGGAAAAGAAACCAACAGGGAUUGCCCCAGUAACGGCGAGUGAAGCGGCAACAGCUCAAAUUUGAAAUCUGGCCUUAGGGUCCGAGUUGUAAUUUGUAGAGGAUGCUUUUGGUGAGGUGCCUUCCGAGUUCUCUGGAACGGGACGCCAUAGAGGGUGAGAGCCCCGUCUGGUUGGACACCGAGCCUCUGUAAAGCUCCUUCGACGAGUCGAGUAGUUUGGGAAUGCUGCUCUAAAUGGGAGGUAUAUGUCUUCUAAAGCUAAAUAUUGGCCAGAGACCGAUAGCGCACAAGUAGAGUGAUCGAAAGAUGAAAAGCACUUUGAAAAGAGAGUUAAAAAGUACGUGAAAUUGUUGAAAGGGAAGCGCUUGUGACCAGACUUGGGCUUGGUCAAUCAUCCGGCGUUCUCGCCGGUGCACUUCUCCAGCUCAGGCCAGCAUCAGUUUGCCGCGGGGGACAAAGGCAUCGGGAAUGUGGCUCCUCCGGGAGUGUUAUAGCCCGUUGCGUAAUACCCUGCGGUGGACUGAGGUUCGCGCUCCGCAAGGAUGCUGGCGUAAUGGUCAUCAGCGACCCGUCUU